rnacentral:misc_RNA from 1 species
UAACGAGUUUACCAAACAGCUGCUGGAAUCUUCUGGCAAAUUACAACUUCUAGAUAAGAUGAUGGUUAAGCUUAAAGACCAAGGUCACAGAGUUCUUAUAUAUUCACAAUUUCAGCAUAUGCUCGACUUGCUAGAAGACUACUGUACCUAUAAGAAAUGGCACUACGAACGGAUUGAUGGAAAAGUUCCUGGGGCAGAACGACAAAUCCGAAUUGACAGAUUUAAUGCAAAGAAUUCUUCAAGAUUCUGCUUCCUUCUAUCCACUAGGGCUGGAGGUUUAGGAAUUAAUCUUGCGACUGCUGACACAGUAAUUAUUUAUGACAGUGAUUGGAAUCCCCACGCUGACCUACAAGCAAUGGCUAGAGCUCAUCGGCUUGGACAAACAAAUAAGGUAAUGAUUUUUCGACUCAUAUUAAGAGGAACCAUUGAGGAAAGAAUGAUGCAAAUGACUAAGAAGAAAA